CUCCCAGGUGUCUGCCGUGUUAGGAUUCACAAAGAUGCAGUAAAGGAAAGAUGGUGGAGGAGUGGAAUGAAGACAAGAAUUUCCUAGGAUGAAAUGAACUCCUUGUAGCCUAGAAACACAUCCUACAAUUUUCACGUGACGGAAGUUAGUGUAUCUUGAAACUGUUUUGUGUUUAGGACAGUAAGAGACAUUUUGUUUCUAGUACCUGCUAGUCUUUGGAAAUAUAGUGCAUAAACGUGAAAACAAGUUUAGGAACUAUAGAACUAUUGCGGACAUUUGAUAACAAAUCUAUCUAAAGUUUGAUGGGGUUUUUUUUGUUUUUUUGUUUUUUGUUUGUUUGUUUGUUUGUUUGUGUUUUUUUGUUCAGGGAUUCCUGAGCCUGGCAUGGUAAGAUGGAUGAAGGCUGAUGACAUUAAGAAGUGCCUGGCUAGCUACUCUCAUUUUUUCUUAUGUCAUUCGGGCAUCUGAAAAUGUUCACUAUGUCAUUGUACAAAAAUAUGAAGAUCAUGAAAUAUGACCACAGAAUAACACAGAUGAUCACGUGGCAUCCUUGCUAUGCAAUUUAUGUCUCAUCUGAGAAGAUGAAACUAUCAGAUGCCUCACCCAGAUGCGACUACUUGUCAGAUGCCUGGUACAAAACAUAUGUACCUCAAACUCCACUGAAGACCUGGAGUAGAAGAACAGCUGCAAGUCUUUCUGCUGUUGAGUGAUGACAAUCUGGAUGUGUGAAAGGAACAUCCUGUUAAAACAGUGGAUGUCCCAAUAGUAAGGUAUAUGCAUGUUAGACAUGUAUGAGUUUAAGUGCAUUACUGCUCUUCCUGAGAAGAAAUUUCCCCUAAUUUCCUAAUAUCCAACCUGAACCUUCCCUGGUGCAAUUUCCCCUGGUGCAAUUUAAGGCCAUUACCUCUCAUUCCAUCACUGUUACCUGGGAGAAGAGACUGACCCCCACCUCACCACAACCUCAUAUCAGGUUAUGGUAGAGACUGGUAAGGUCUCCCCUGAGCCUCCUCCAGACUCAACAAUCCCAGUUCCCUCAGCAACUCCCCAUAAGACUUGUGCUCCAGACCCUUCACAGCUCCACUGCCCUUAUCUGGACAUGUUCCAGGGCCUCAAUGUCUUUCUUGUAGUGAGGGCUCAAAACUGAGCACCAGUACUUGAGGUGUGGCCUCACCAGCACUGAGUACAGAGGGAUGAUCACUUCCCUGCUCCUGCUGGCAACACUACUCCUGAUACAAGCCAGGAUGCCAUUGGCCUUCUUGGCCACCUGGGCACAAUGCUGGCUCACAUUCAGCUGGCUGUUGACUAACACCCCACAAAGCUUACCAACUGCUCUGCCCCAAGCCUGUUGCAACACAGGGGGCUAUUGAAGCCAAAGGCAAGGACUUGGCAUUUGGUCUUGUUAAAGCUCAUAUAUCUGGACUCAGCUCAUUGAUCCAGCCUGUUCAAAUCCCUCUGUUGAGCCUUCCUACUCUCAAAAUUCAAGGCUGUAUUGCAAGCUUGUAGUGCUAUGCU
rnacentral:lncRNA from 1 species